AAGCCGUCUGGUAGUCUCUCGAGUAACCUUGGUUUGCAUGAAACGUCAAGUUGGGCCGUUUGACAGUUGGUGUAUUCUCGUUCAGAUCAAAGUAGGCGGCCAAACUGUGCGGUUGAUCAACGGAAAACGUGCGUUCGCUCGCUGUUGCCGAACUCCGCCAUAUCGCGUUCUUUUCUUUCGCAAUUGUUCCGCAAAAGUGUUCCACAAAAUAAACCGAAACGUUCUCCGCACGCUGACACUACUGUGUAUCGUGCUUUUGCUUAUCGCUCCCUGUGCCUAUGAGAUCGAAAAGGUCAUCACGCACCCAAUCUGCCGGCUACAGUUGCAACGAGAUGGCUAAGUCUUCACUUCAAUCGACUUUGAAGUUUCUGAGGAAAGUCAGCCCGGUACUACCUGUGGUCAGGAUUGCUCUUCAGUACACACUCGGGUUUCAUUCGCCCACCAUCGAAUGGGCACAAUAUCUCUUGCCCGACUGUGUCACCCUGGACGUGGUCCGAGAAAUGCUGAAAAAAUGGUAAAACACGCGCAGACACAUGCUUUUAUUUUGUUGAAUUACUCUUUAUUAUACGGAUUUUUCGACGAUUACACCCCAGCAAAGAUGAGGUGAAGUGGAGGGCUCGGUGAUCGUCCACAUCGUUCGCCCUCCCCUCUCCCGACGAGACUAACAACAUUACGGGAGACACUACUAAACGGAACUUCGGCUCCUGCAAAUCGUAAAUAUAUAGAACUACAUGUAUCUUUUCUAUCAUCACUAGCUGAUUCGUUCGCACGCACUUCGUUCUUCGUUCACUGCUGCUCUUUAACGUUACAUUGAUUUCUAUCGGAGGUUAAAACAACACCUCACCGUAGGGGACAGAGUAGUGGCAUCUUUCACGCGCUAGUCCCUAGUCGCGCAGAAGAUGAUCAUAACUUAAGGAAAGCGCCAAGAGGCGAAAAGGCGAAAAUAGGGGGAAGAUAGUAAUAAAAUAGUAGACAUACAGAAACACACACAGGAGCCUGCGUGAGCCUUCAUCGCGAGAUCACCAUCGGGGGAUAUGGUGGGCAGUUGGUAAAUAGAUAACGUUGGUCCUGAAACCAGGAACGAAUUCCUCACAAUAAAAUAUAUGGUAAAAAAAAA